UACAGAGGUCUCAAGCGUUGUUCGGAUUCAUUGGGCGUAAAGGGUGCGUAGGCGGCUCGGUAAGUCGGGUGUGAAAUCUCGGAGCUUAACUCCGAAGCUGCAUUCGAUACUGCCGUGCUUGAGGACUGGAGAGGAGACUGGAACUUCCGGUGGAGCGGUGAAAUGUGUUGAUAUCGGAAGGAACGCCGGUGGCGAAAGCGACGUGCUGGACCGCUUCUGACGCUGAGGCGCGAAAGCUAGGGGAGCGAACGGG
rnacentral:rRNA from 1 species